rnacentral:rRNA from 1 species
GACGAAGGAUGCAAGCGUUAUCCGGAUUCAUUGGGUUUAAAGGGAGCGUAGGUGGCCUUAUAAGUCAGUGGUGAAAUCUCUGGGCUUAACCCAGAAAUUGCCAUUGAUACUGUAGGGCUUGAGUAUAGUUCCGUUGGCGGAAUAUGACAUGUAGUGGUGAAAUACAUAGAGAUGUCAUAGAACACCGAUUGCGAAGGCAGCUGACGAAACUAUAACUGACACUGAGGCUCGAAAGUGCGGGGAUCAAACAGG